GGCAGCACCCAUGUCUCUGAGGCCACCUGGGACACACAGGUGUGCAUUAAUUAACUGGGAGGGACACGGGGGUGCAUUAAUUAAUCAAUUCAGUGAUUAGACAGGAUCACCUUCCAUAAUAAAGUGGAAAAACUGUCUCAGUUUUUAGAGAAAACCAAAGUUACUGUAGGGUCACCCAAGAUGGCGGCCACAAUAACGCCCAUGUCUCUGAGGCCACCUGGGGACACAGGGCUGCAUUAAUUAAUUAAUUCAUCUGUUAAUGGGAUUAGCUGCUGGUGAUUAGGCAGUUUUAUCUGUUUCUGCCAUAUUAAACUGGGAAAACUUGCUCAGUUUUUAGAGAAAACCAAAGCUACUGCAGGGUCACCCAAGAUGGCGGCCGCGGCAGCACCCACGUCUCUGAGGCCACCUGGGAGGGACACGGGGGUGCAUGAAUUAACUGGGAGGGACACAGGGGUGCAUUAAUUAAUUAAUUCAUCUGUUAAAGGGUUAGCUGCUGGUAACUGGGCAGUUUUGUCUCUUUCUGCCAUAUUAAACUGGGAAAACUUUCUCAGUUUUUAGAGAGAACCAAAGCUACUGCAGGGUCACCCAAGAUGGCGGCCGCAGCAGCGCCCAUGUCUCUGAGGCCACCUGGGAGGGACACAGGUGUGCAUUAAUUAACUGGGAGGGACACAGGGGUGCAUUAAUUAAUUAAUUCAGUGAUUACACAAGAUCAUCUUCCAUAAUAAAGUGGAAAAUCUUGCUCAGUUUUUAGGGAAAACCAAAGUUACUGCAGGGUCACCCAAGAUGGCGGCCACAGCAGCACCCAUGUCUCUGAGGCCACCUGGGAGGGACCCAGGUGUGCAUUAAUUAACUGGGAGGGACACAGGGGUGCAUUAAUUAAUCAGUUCAUUGAUUAUAUAGGAUCACCUUCCAUAAUAAAGUGGGAAAACCAAAGUUACUGUAGGGUCACUCAAGAUGGCGGCCGCGGCAGCGCCCACGUCUCCGAGGCCGCCUGGGGACAUGGGUGUGCAUUAAUUAACUGGGAGGGACACAGGGGGGCAUUAAUUAAUUAA
rnacentral:lncRNA from 1 species